GCAGGAGCUGACGCGCUUCCUCCUCCUCCUCUUCGGUCGCGGCCGCCGCCACCGCCUCCCCCCCAGCCGCCGGCCCCGCGCUCGGCUCCGCAGGCAAGGCCGCGUCUUUUGCCCCCCCUCCCCCCGCGUGUGCCUCUGGCUCAGGGCCUCAGUUUCCACAUCGGGACAACGGAGAAGAUAACGGGCCGUCCGGGAGAGAUAAAGGCGCGAAGCCACCUCCACCCCGAGACUGAGCUUCUGCACGCCUCCGUCUCCAGGGUCCUCUGAAGGCGCCCCGACUCCCCAUCUCGGCAGGCGCUCCGCCCCUCGGAAUUCCCGGCUCCGCAAGGGGCGGGUCUGGAAGGGAGAAGGGGCGGGGGAAACGGGCUAGAAAGUUUGCAGCAACUUUUCUUGAGAGUAAGUCCCUGGAACGGAUGCGCGUGGCCUGCGCAGGCGCAGUGGUAGAAGGAUGGCGGCUCGCGCUGCAGGCCCAGCCCCCUUCUUCCCUGGGAUCUGGUGGCACAGCUGGGUCACAGCUGGAGAAGAGGCGGUGCCUCCGGGUGGUCCGCUUGCCCUCUCCCAUUGGCAGGCCUCUAAGCCACGCCCCCGGCCGCCCCGGCCGUUCGCUGGUCCCGCUAGCUCCCCCUCAAAGCUAUUGACCGCCUCCGCUCGCCUUCUGAUUGGCCCACUGAGCAGCCUCCUUCCUUCCACGCGAACAGCGGACACCACGGAAUUCAGAGCUUUGGGAAGACGAGAGGGCCUUUUAUUUCGCGGGGAUUGGGGGUGGGGUCCCAGGUGGGGAGAGGCAAUAAAUACCGAGGAAUGUUGGGGUCUCAGUGCAUCCAAAACGUGGAUUAGGGUGCUGGGGUCCUGGAGCCUGUCAGCGGGUCGGAGGACAGGUCAAUAAAUACCCAAAUCGCCGAGGCGGGAGAAGCCGGCUGUGGCUCCGAGAGCAGAGCACGAGAGCCCCCGAGAAAAUGGGGCUGCCAAAAGCAAAAGUUUCCGGAGAGAACAGGGUCUCAUGCACAGAGGAUUUGUGGUUUGCAGACCGACGGGCGUGCGGGUGCGUGGAGGGUGAAAAACGGAUGUCCGAGCCCUAGGCCCUGCUGCCUUCUCUAGAUCGUGGUUUGCCCAUCCAUGUCGGGGCCUCAGCAAGGUCGGAAAAAGGAAGUGGCCCACGAUUCCCCACCAGCAGCAGCAGCAUUCCCGGCUACAGGCCUCCCGAGAGCCCGGUGCUCCGGCCGCGGCCCGGCUCCUCCCUCCCCGGCCGCCAGGGAGCGGGCCCGGAUCACAGGGCUGAAGCUGGGACGGAGACGGUAGCUAGAAGUGAUGAGAACCGGAGGGCGGUGGGAGUGGCCUCUGGGCCAAGCCAGGUCACUCAACCGUCCAGCGCAGCCCGAGUGGAGGACAGGCUGGGGUUCUAGGGUUCAGGGGGCGAAGGCGGCUCCCGGGAGGCGCCAGAGUUGGGUGAGGUGGCCGGCGUAGGCCACCAACCCAGAGCAGCCCAAGGCGGCGGCACGAGCCAGAGCAACGGCGAACAAGAGCAGGGAACGUGCCUCCGAUACGCCAAGCCUAGGGUCCUGCGAGAGAGAGGGCGGGAUCAGAACCAGCGAUACGGGUUCCAGAUUGGCUCCCAGGACUCGCCCUGCCUACGCCCACCCUCUACGCCAGCGCGGGCAUCUGGUUGGCCGGCUCUCAAGCCUCCAGUCUUGUCCGAACUCGUCAUUGGCCACUUCCUAGAUGUCUGUAUUGAUUGGCUGCCCGAGCAUCCUCCCUCCCCUCGACAGGCCCAGCCCCUCACAGGCGCAGCUAAGCAGGGGUGGCUUGGGGUAGGUGCAGCGCGGCGGGGAGGCGGCGGCGGGCGUGAACAGCCGGACGUACCCUGGCAGGGAGCAGCAGGUGGCGGCGGUGCAUGGGGCCUGGCCCCACCAGCGGGCACUGGCCCAGAGCCACGGCCGGGGGGCCAUCUAGCUGGAGAAAGAAGGGACAGGUGACCCGAUCGGAGCCCACCUGGCCCGGCCGCUGUAGGCAAGGGACUAGAGACAACGAGGGGAAUUGAGAUAUAGGAGAAAUCUAGGGAGAUCCCAGGCGGGAUUGGGAUUUCGUAAGAGGCCUGAACCAAGGGAGACCUUGUAGAUGUGGGGCUCAAUGGAGGGUAUCUGCCGCCUGGAACCCCAAAGAGGUAGGUGAGACCUAUAUCUGGACGGGGAGACAAGGACCGGGUCUGCAGAGGGGGCACAAGUCUUGACGCAGAGGAAAAAGAGGGCUCUUACAUGGGAAGGUGGAUCCGUAGCCCGGGGACUGGGGACCCCCGUGACAGCUGGAAGGAGAAGAGAGAGGCGUAGGGUGCGUGGAGGGACGGAGGAGGGUGGUGGCGCGGCGUGCCCCAGCCUGGGCCCCUCGCCCUCCCCACCACACACGCCGCGGCCCACCUCCCCACCCACCACCUUCGGCGCCCUCGGGGUAAGGGCGGACGAGGGACUUGCCUGCGGCCUCUUCGGCCUGCAGCAACUGCAUCCGCUCCUGCAGCUGUCGGACGUGCGCCUCCAGGUCUCGGUUCCGGGCCUCGGCCUCGCGGAGUUGACUGCGGGGAGGUAAGGACUGUGAGCCCUUCGAAUGCCGGCGGGAGGGGCUGCCCAAGGUAGCGACUUGCACCUGAACCCCAACUCCGACCUGGCGAAGUUCUGGUUGGCCGUACGGAUGGUCUGCAGCUCCCGGCUCAGGCUCUGCCGGGGAUCAUUUGUGACUGUAGUAACCCCUACUCUUUUCCAUCUCCUGUCGAGCAAGCUCCCAGAGGGCUCAGCACUCCAUGGCACCCGCCACCCCAGAAGCCCUCGACUCUUCUCUCCGGUCCCCCCCACUGACCCUCUCCAGUGACUCACGGUCUCCUCUGGUGGGGGCACGGGGAGCUCUGGCCUGGGUGCUUGCUCAGGUGGCUCAGGCAAUUGCUCGGCCUCCAGUUCCAUGGGCCUGGGGCCUGGGACCUCAUCAUCCCUGGGGAAAGGAAGAGGGGGAGAAGCGGAGCCAGUCACCCCAGAGAGGCUGCUGAUGCCCUGGGUUUAGAGCCAGGACUCCUUGCUGGCAAGGAGACACACCCUUCCUAGGAAAACGAAACUGCAGUAGAAGUGGAUGUCUUCUCCAACCUGGCAAUACCACUCGUGGAAAUAUGUCUCAAGGACUUAGUGAUAUUAGACAUGCACGGACACCAGCCUGUGGUUGUUCAUCCAGCCUGGGUUAUAAUAAAGAGGACAGGUUAACCAAGUCCUGACUUACCCAAAAGGCAGAAUACUACACAGUGUAGGGAUCGUGUGUAGUAGUUUCUUCAUGAUCAGAAAUGGGGUUUGCAAUACAUUGGCCAGUAAGAAAACAGACUAGAAUACAGCAUGUUCUAUGUUCUCAGUUGUCCAGUACAUGUGCACUUGUGUGAGCCAGGGACCAUCACUGAUGGUGGGAUUCUUUUUCCUUAUCCCUGUUUUUUAAUUUACUUCUGACAAGCCAAGCAUUAUUUGUAUAAUUAAUGAUUUAGUGAGCUUGUGCUUUGAAGAUUGAUUUUAAAAUUUAAAUUUAAAAUAAUUCAAAUUAUUUUCUAAGAUCCUGAGUCCCACGGCUCUGUGUACCAGAAAUCUCAAAAUAGAAGG